CCCGGCUAUACCUCGGUCCACACACUUCAGCAGUGCGUGCAUCACAGUGACCCCUUCUGGCAGAAUUUUCUAAUUAGAAGGUUGUCCACAUCCUGAUUGAACUGUGCUGUCCAGAACUGAACACAGUACUCCAGCUGCGGUCUGACCAGUGCUGCCUAGAGGGGGAGAAUCACUUCCCUGGACCUGUUUGUGAAGCACCUAUGGAUGCAUGACAAGGCAUGAUUGGCUCUGCUGACUGCUUCAUCACAUUGGCGACUCACGUUCAAGCCUGUAGGCCUCCGAGUCCAAAGGAAGCAGAAGACACCCAGGCCCUCCGAGGAUCCGGGCUUUGAAACCAAAAGCAUCAGGAUGUGAGGAAGCCAAGCCCUAGACUGAGCUUUAGCCGAUGCAGCUGGGGAGCAGACACUAAAGGACUGUAGCGAUGUCGUUUUCAUUAGUCCGUGAAGAACAACUUCAAAAACAAGGUUUAGAUUUGCUAUUGGCUAUUUAAUAGGGGAUUAGUCAAAGGGAAUAAACUGGCAGCAGGUUUAGAUGGAUGUGACUAUAGGGACAAGGGCUUAACAUGAUGUGCUUCAAAAUGACACUUGCCUGUUGCCAGGCAGAUGCAGCUUGUCCUACCUGUUGCCCCAUGCUGUGAUACAAAAGGUGGUGGGCACUCUGGAAAACCUGAAGAUAGAAAAAAAAAAAAUACCCUUGCAAGCUGGCAGCAAUUCAGAUCACUCCACAAGGAGAGCUGAACAGGACGGAUGGCGUGUCUGAAGCCAUCCCUCCCUCUCUGGGCCCAGGGAGAUGGGAUUUUUCUUGUAAGCAAUGCAGUCAGAGAGCAAAUCAGAGCUUCUGAGCAGCAGGAGCUCUGUUCUCUUUCCCUUGGGCUCCACUUGUGAAAAUCAUCAAAUACUAACAUGCUAACUGCAGCAGUUUCUAAUUUUUCCUUCCAGUGUACAUGGAAUCAUAGAAAUCAGAGACAUAUGAGGCUGGUUAGGUCACCUUUUCUUUUUCAGGCAGGCUUGUUCCUUAUGUUUCACUUAGUCCUGAUGCUUUAGCCACUCUUGCUUUAGAGUCUCAAAAGCUCAGAGGAUGCAUGCAAGCUUUGACGGCUCAACCUUACCUGCUCUUUGGCCCCUAAUUGGGCAGGGGUGGGGGGAUGAGACAGUCUUCCACACUCCUGAUUAGUUUAAGAGCUGGCUGGGACCCCAGUCUCUGACUUGUUGCCAGCACCCUCUUCAUUACACAGGACAAAUGCCACUAAGAGAAAGGGUUCAACCCUAAUGAAGAGAGUUGAUUUGCUACAGGUUAACUGGUUAGUUCAGGGUCAAUCAGGUGGAUCAGCUGUCCUUGAUAAGAGGCCCGCAGGUAGGGCUGGAAAACAUUAUAAGGAGUAGGCUGGAGUCAGCAUAGCUGGUUGGUGGUGAGACUGGGAGACAGGCCUGAGGGCCUAUAGGAGUCUAGGAGUAUAGCUUGCUAGGGAAUCAAAAUCAAGUUACAAGCUAGCUUGAAACCAGCCUGACUGCGUAGCUUAGAGAAAGGCAAAGGGAGCAUCCGCUAUAUAAAUACAGGGGAGAAUGCAGGCUUAUUUGGCAAAUGACAGCCAGAAUGGCUUUCAGGAGUAUGCAUUAGCUAGGAAGUGAUUUAGAGUGUGCACGUGAGAGAGGAAUAAGAUGAAUAAUUUGGAGCAGCAUUGCAGAGUUUACAACAGUCACUUUAUUCUUGCAUUAUUACCGUUAACUGCCACAAAACAACUGCUGUGUAUGUUCACUGGUUUAAAGGGCCAGGGGAUGUCAAAUUUUCCCCUGAUUCUGAGCUUUGCUCUGCACAAAGUGCAAGGAGGGGGCUAUUAUGGAGCCAGGUCCCCCAUUCUGUGGGCUGGCCUCAUUAUCUAUUAGAGCUGCCUAGGGACAGCUAAAUGUGAUCUUAAAGCGAUCCAAGCAUUGCACCAUAGAGCUGAGUGCUUGCCCCUCCUUGCUACUGAGAGAGGUGGUUGGGUGGUAUUAGCACAGCCAGGCUUUACCCCAGAGGGAGUUUCCUCUUUGUCCUUAAUCAGGUAUAGCCCAAUACCAGCCCAUUGAUGCUGCAGAGCCAUGCCCAUAAUGUAGCUCACACUUCUGACAUGGUGAGACUACUCUCAGCAGGCAGGUUAGCUAGUUUAAAGCCAUUUCAUAUACAUGCACAUGAGCUCCUGUGGCACCCUUUGUGUACUGUGCAGUGUAAAUGCCCAGUCCUCUCAUCUUCUUACUUUUUUUUGAAGACCUCAUCUCCUUCCAUUCUUUUAGAAAUAAUGGGAGGGCUCUUCCACUUGACUGGCCUGUCUACCUAGAAAUGCAUCGGUCACAACAAUAAUUUCUUUCACACAAGUAUGAUAGCAGAAGUUCAGUUCAUGGUACAACUGUCCACCACAUCUUGGCCUAGGUUUCCAUUUAAAGUAACGCCUAGGUUUGUUUCUUUUUGUGGCGCCUGGAAAUUGGAGUGGUUUCAUGAAUCAGAAAGACAGUGAAGGCUUGAACAACUUGAAAACUGGGGAAGUUGCUGCCCUUUGCCUGCUGCUACAAGGUUCUUAUGGUCCUCUGGCCUGACAUUAAAACAUGCCAACUCUUACAUUUGUAACCAUUGUGUAAAAAGCUGUUAUUGCCCUUAAAACUAGUCAUUGGAGUUGAAAGAUAAAUAUUAUUCUGUAUCUUAUUGAAUAAAAUAUAUUAUAUCACAGGUGAUGGAGACAGAUUGACUCAAUAAAUUCUGAUACUGUAUUCUGAGGAAAAGUGGCAAUAAAAAUGCUGAUGACUCGACACAGGGAGAAUAUUGAAUGUCAUUAACAUGUUAUUUCCUCUGUUCUGAUAUCACUGUCAUGUUCUUCCUACUGUUCUAAUCUCUAUCAGUUGCCUUAUUUUUUUUCCGUUUUGCUUGUCUGAAUGAGAAAAAUGGCAUUU